rnacentral:misc_RNA from 1 species
UUUCCGUAGGUGAACCUGCGGAAGGAUCAUUCAUAAUAAGUGUUUUAUGGCACUUUUUUAAAUCCAUAUCCAUCUUGUGUGCGAUGUUAGGGUUGAUUCUUCUCUAGAGAGGACCAGCCCCAAACAUCAACUAUCUCUCAACUCUUUGUCUGAAAAAUAUUAUGAAUAAAACAAUUCAAAAUACAACUUUCAACAACGGAUCUCUUGGCUCUC